UCGUUGCCUUUCGAAAAACACGACCGUUGCACACGUGACAGAACGCUGUCGGGGAGGUGCUUGCUGCCUCCUCGGCCCCACCGGCCUCUUCCCUCUCGCCCUCAGGGCGCGUUGGUCGCUGGCCGGAAUACGGCGCGGGAUGACGCCAAGGAACACGAUAAAGCUGAGGCACCGACGAGCCGCUCAAGGGUUGGUCGGCUGCCGAGGCCAAUAAAAAGAA
rnacentral:misc_RNA from 1 species